GGGUCUGUAGCUCAGGUGGUUAGAGCGCACGCCUGAUAAGCGUGAGGUCGAUAGUUCAAGUCUAUCCAGGCCCACCA
rnacentral:tRNA from 1 species